UACGUAGGGGGCAAGCGUUGUCCGGACUUACUGGGCGUAAAGCGCGUGCAGGCGGAUUGGUAUGUGCCGUGUGAAAGCUCUCAGCUUGCCUGGGAGAGGUCGCGGUAGACAGCCGAUCUGGAGGCUCGGAGAGGUCAGUGGAAUUCCCGGUGUAGUGGUGAAAUGCGUAGAGAUCGGGAGGAACACCAGUGGCGAAGGCGGCUUGCUGGGCCGGACCUGACGCUGAGACGCGAAGGCGUGGGGAGCGAACGGG
rnacentral:rRNA from 1 species